CAUACGCGGGAAGACCUCUGUUAUGAUGUGACAAAUAUUAUGCUUAGACAUGUUAUCACAGAAUUAUGUCUCUCUCUCUCUGCCUCUAUAAUCAAUCUUAAAGGGUGGCCCAAAUGUAUCUCCCGAGGAAUUUUUUCGCAAAAGUUUAAGCGUGGCCUAUACUACACCUGCGAGCACAUUCCCACGGAAGGGGAUCGGUGUGACCCCUCAGGAUAUGCAUACGGCACUUGCCCAUGUGCCCCAGGUACAGAUUGUCCUCCCCCUCGUAAUGGAUUACUAUUUGACCUUUCCCGUCGGUGCCAACGUGUUUAGAAUUUGAUUUAUUUUAUUACACAUUUUAUUGAAAUCUUUAACUACUUAAAGAUGAUUUUAAUAAAUUGAUUGUGACCUACAUAUA